rnacentral:lncRNA from 1 species
CAACGGCCCCCGUCCAGGUCACGGGGCGGGGCUUUCUGACGGAAGCGCGCGCGCAAAGAGUCCUUGAACCCGGACGCUCGCAGCGGCUACCUCGGGGCGGGGAGGGCGGCGGGAAAAUCCUUCCUCUGGGAGAGCCUUCCCGGCGCGUGACUGGGGGACGGGAGUCGCAGGCUGAGCAGCUGCCGAGUUUUUUGUGAGGGCGAGGGAACCAGACGUCCACGUUGUGAUUCUGCGCGCAGAAGGGUCAUCGGAGUCCGGGGGUGUCGCCGCGGCCCCCCCGCCCCUCAGAGGGUGUGGGAAUGGGUGUGGUGGCAGGGCGGGGGUCUGCACCGCCACGCGCGACCCCGAUCGCGAAAACGUGAGGCGGCAAAGCGCCUCUGGCAGAAGCCGCCCGCCGUAGCUGGGAAAGCCGGAGGUUGCAAAUCUGCGUCUACGCGGCGGCUUCUCCACCUCGGCACCACUGGCAUUUGGGCGGGAUCGCUCUGUCUUCGGGGCGGGUCCCCCGAUCUGUCGGAAGUUGAGCGGCAUCUCUGGCCUCCGAAGCGCCCCCUCCCCCAAUCUGCAGUCAUUGCCGCCGUCCCUUGUGGGGGCACAGUCCCCCCGCCCCCCCACCGGCAGAGAACCCCGUGAUUGAAAGACCCUUCUACCCGCCUCUGCCUUGAGAUUCUGUAAAACUGAGAUGCUCAUUCUCUUAACCAAACACGUCACAGAGGAGGAAACGGAGGCCCAAGGUCACCUAGACUUCGGGGUUAAGCCCAGAACCGCAGAUGUCAAGUUUAAGGGCGCCCCUCCUCCCUCCACCCUGUUUAUUGCCUUGGAAGACCUAGAUUUAAAACAGGAGGAAGACAGCUGAUGAGAACCACAUGUGUGCCUUGGAGCUGCCCGACACCUGUUAGUCUUGUAUUUGUUGUGCUUCUGGGAAAUAUUUUCAUUUGCAAAAACGGCUGCUUCUGCACGUGGCUAUGGUUGCGUGCUUCUGCACAUGUGAAAAGUUUUACAUCACACUUGGAGGAGAAAAGAAACACGGGCAAAACACUUGUCAUUUACUGCUCCCAACCUCGCCCCUCCCAGAAUGCGGUGCAUUGUGUACAUGGUGUACAUGGUCCAAGUUGGAAACUGGCCCAUUCGGAGAUAAUUCUCUCAUUUCUGAUAAGCAAAAUAAGCAAAGCCUUCCUCAGGCA